AAGGGUGCGUAGGCGGAUUUUUAAGUCAGGGGUGAAAUCCCGAGGCUCAACCUCGGAACUGCCUUUGAUACUGGGGAUCUUGAGUCCGGAAGAGGUGAGUGGAACUGCGAGUGUAGAGGUGAAAUUCGUAGAUAUUCGCAAGAACACCGGUGGCGAAGGCGGCUCACUGGUCCGGAACUGACGCUGAGGCACGAAAGCGUGGGGGAGCAAACAGGAUUAGAUACCCCGGU
rnacentral:rRNA from 1 species